rnacentral:rRNA from 1 species
CCUACGUGAGGCAGCAGUAGGGAAUAUUGCUCAAUGGGGGAAACCCUGAAGCAGCAACGCCGCGUGGAGGAAGAAGGUUUUCGGAUUGUAAAACCCUUUUGUCAGAGAAGAGAAUGGCGGUAUCCAACGCAUAAGCACCGGCUAACUCCGUGCCAGCAACCGCGGUAACAAAGAGGGAGCAAGCGUUACGCGGAAUCAAUGGGCGUAAAGGGAGCGUAGGCGGGAUUGCACGUCAGAUGUGAAAUACUAUGGCUUAACCCUAGUACUGCAUUUGAAAAUGUUAUUCUAGAGUUUGGGAGAGGUAGGUGGAAUGCUUGGUGUAGCGGUGAAAUCCGUAGAGAUCAAGAGGAAUCCUGAUUGCGAAGGCGACCUGCUAGAACAUAACUGACGCUGAUGCGCGAAAGCGUGGGGAGCAAACAGGAUUAGAUACCCGAGUAGUC